CCAGACUCCUACGGGAGGCAGCAGUGGGGAAUAUUGCACAAUGGGCGGAAGCCUGAUGCAGCAACGCCGCGUGAAGGAAGAAGGGUUUCGGCUCGUAAACUUCUAUCAACAGGGACGAAAGAAAUGACGGUACCUGAAUAAGAAGCCCCGGCUAACUACGUGCCAGCAGCCGCGGUAAUACGUAGGGGGCAAGCGUUAUCCGGAUUUACUGGGUGUAAAGGGAGCGUAGGCGGCGAUGCAAGCCAGAUGUGAAAGCCCGGGGCUCAACCCCGGGACUGCAUUUGGAACUGUGUGGCUGGAGUGUCGGAGAGGCAGGCGGAAUUCCUAGUGUAGCGGUGAAAUGCGUAGAUAUUAGGAGGAACACCAGUGGCGAAGGCGGCCUGCUGGACGAUGACUGACGUUGAGGCUCGAAAGCGUGGGGAGCAAACAGGAUUAGAUACCCCUGUA
rnacentral:rRNA from 1 species